rnacentral:misc_RNA from 1 species
AGAGAGAGAGAGAGAGAGGAAUGCACAAGUCAUUAAAUUUUUAUGUUCAUAAAAUCAAAAAAUUCAUAGGACAAUUCCACAUUUAUAUAAAGAACCUCAGGGCUUGUUAAUUUAGUAUGCUACACAGAAAUCAUACUACAACCUUCCUAGGAAGCUGUGAUAUGAAACUUGAGUGAUGUGUGGAUACUAGGUCUUCGCCAAACCUCAUGGCGUUGAGGUCCAUAAAAGUUUAACCAUGCAAGGCAAUUGAAAUUAAACAACUUAUUACACUUAAGGAAGUCUUGUUGACAUCAAUCAAGUGGUACUUUAUUUGAAAGUCCUCCCCCCCUCCCCUCUCUCUCUCUCUCUC